rnacentral:rRNA from 1 species
CAGUCGCCACGGGAACACGGAGGAUCCAAGCGUUAUCCGGAAUCAUUGGGUUUAAAGGGUCCGUAGGCGGUCUUGUAAGUCAGUGGUGAAAGCCCAUCGCUCAACGGUGGAACGGCCAUUGAUACUGCAGGACUUGAAUUAUUGGGAAGUAACUAGAAUAUGUAGUGUAGCGGUGAAAUGCUUAGAGAUUACAUGGAAUACCAAUUGCGAAGGCAGGUUACUACCAAUUGAUUGACGCUGAUGGACGAAAGCGUGGGUAGCGAACAGGAUUAGAGACCCCCGUAGUCCCUGUCUCUUAUAC